GGGGCCCACAUUUUCCUUUUUGGCUGGACCCCAUAAAUCACAUAGCUGGUCCUGCGCAUCGUGACAUCCUUAGCUGGUGGUGCAGGGGCCUGCCACGCGGGGGACAGUUCAGCAGGUGCGUGGACUGUCAGGUGCCCACAGACGGCACGGAAAAGUGGUCAGAGGGAAGAAGAGAACCAGGCCCUAGCAGUACGGAGGACUCAGGAGGGGAGGGCUUCGGAGAGAACCCUGUGUGCCCCGCGUUCUGUGGCCUAGGCCGUGGUGAGGGUGCCUGAGUGUUUGCCCCUGGGGCUCAGGGUCCCACCGGUUGAGGCCUAGAUCCGCUGAAGGCCUGCUGUCCUCAGCCUGUCUCUGUUGCCCCUCAGCCCCUUCUAUUCUCUGACCCUGAAGAGCAAAGCGGGAUGUCUACACAGAGGCUGGUGUUUGUUUCCACACAGCCUGCUGGCACAUUUGCCUUGUCCUUCCGGCAGCUUCUUUCUCCAGAAAGCACUGCUGGGAUUGCCAGAUUAGCAUCGGAAUGGGGAGAGGGCCACUCCUACAAUAGCAAUCCCCUGUGGACGGAAGAGAGCCGGACAUCAAAUGAUGCCUUACCUUCCAACCCCGAGGCACACUCCGCCAGGCCAGCCGGCUCGGGCCCCUCCACAGCAGGCUUAGAGCUCUGGAACUUUCCCGGGGCCUUCUCAGCCAAGACAGCAGAUCUCCGUGGGGAAGAGGUCCUAAUAACUAAGAAAGUGUGAUCGGCCUGGCCUGCGAUGGUAAAUUCUCCCCCACCGACCCCGUCUCCGAUGGCCAUCACCACCACCACCGAUGGAGGAAAAGAAAAUACUCCACAGUGAGUGGGUUAAGUCCUUUCGGUUCAGACAGGGAGGUUAGGCAGAAGCCGGGAAAGUGUUGGUUCUCUUUUCUUGUUGAGAACUGAACCACAAGAAACGGUCUGAGACGGCCACCGGGAAGAUUCUGAUUAGUUGUGGCACAGGUUUCGAGAUGUCUGCAGAGACGAAACUGGAGUGAACGCGGCCUGUGUGAGAGCACUGAUCUUUGUGUAUAUGGUGGUGGGGGCGGGGGUCGUUGCAUCCCCGAUGCCCCAUCCAGUGCUGGGCCCUGGGGGUGUACGUAAGCAAGUGUCUGAGGUGACGCACGAAAGGUUCUUUAGAAUAUCCCAAGAGAGACGGGCCCCAUUUCCAAGAACCAGGCUAUCCAAAUAAAACUCCCAUCCAAAGUCCACUACCUCGUUUUAAAAGGAAGCUCUCAGUUCUUCAGUCCCGGGUCUUUGUGGCCUUAUGUGAAGCCCAGACCCCGCACAGUCACAGCCUAAAAAAUACAGCGGUAUUUUUACAGGAGACGCUCCCAGAAUGGGGCAAGACUCCACUUGUAACACAAAACCCGUGAGGAAACUUUACUUCUGUUGCCAAAUAGAGGUUCCCACUCAAAGGGAACCAGAACAGCCAAAGAGGUUUUGCAAGAAGCAAGCCCUCUGUUGAAACCGCUGCGGGGACGUCAGGAAACUCCGAGGAAUGGCUGAAAACAGAUUUGUUCCACUGAGAACACAGGGACUUGAGCAAGGCAAGUGAGACCGGGUGUGGGAACCUGGGCUUGUCAACAUUCUCAUUUCUAGCCUUCGUCACCGUGCGGGGCAGGGGACGACAAGAGGACAGACCCCCCCCACGUGGGACUAUGUCCUUGUGUGGCCUCCUUCCCUACCGUGAAGACAAAGCUAUACGGAUGGCAUCUGGAGAAUGAACAACCAGGAGCCAGGCGCGAAGCUGUUUGCUAGACACGGAGACACUCCCGUCCUCAGGUAACUAAUGCUGAGUGAACCACACACACACCGGGGAGCUGCAGACAUCUGGGAACUCAGUGGCUCCAGCACUGAAGCGUCCCCAGGGGAAUUGGAAGAGACGCAUGGUGUCCUCAGGACGGUACAGGCUGUGUGACUGCAUAUUCCCAGUAGAAACCUACACCUGUAUGUGUAUCACUCAGUCAAGUUCUGCUGGAAUGCCUUCUGUGAGCUGUGAAGAGCAAAACCAGUCCUUGUCCUCAACAAGCUUAUUCUUUAGUGUCUGUGGGCACAAACCUAUUACCUGUAAACAGUCAGAGGACAUGUAAGUAACAAAAUGUAUGCUGCUGACCAUAAAUGCACUAACUCAGAGAGAGAGAGAGAGCGCCUAGAAUCAAAGAAGAUUUUAGGAGGGGUGGGGCUGGUGUUGCCCCCACUGGGGGAGUGGGCUUGGAGUCUGCAGAGGGAGAUGUCUGCAGAGGAGGAUGUCUUAUAGGAGGAACAACAGCACGAGCAAAGCCACACCUCGGGCACUAGCCAGCAUCCAAGGAGAGCAGGAGACAGCCUGAAAGAACAGUGAUGGUAGAUGCAGGGGUGGGUAAUGUGGGGCUUCCACAGGGUGGAGACAAGGCAUUGGGGACUCCUAGUCUGCCUGAGUGGCUAGAACAAAAUACCAAGACUAUAAGACAUAAUAUCAACAUAUAAAAAUCAACUUUAUUUCUAUGUAUACUAGCAGUGACCACCUGGACACUGAAAUUAAAAAUAAAAUACCAUUUACAAUUGCUAAGAAAAAUAAUAACAAUACCUAGGUGUAAAACUAACAAAAUACACAUAGGACUUUUAUGAUAAAAACUGCUGAAAAAAAAUCAGAGAAGAUCUAAACACAUGUAAAGACAUACCAUGUUCAUGGAUUGGAAGACUCAACCUCUUAAAGAUGUCAAUUCUCCCCAAACUGACAGACAGGUUUAAAGCAGUUCCUAUCAAAAUCCCAGUAAGACUUCUGUAGAUAUGACAAGAUUAUUCCAAAAUUGGUAUCGAAAGGCAAAGAAACUACAAGAGCUAAACAAUUUUGAACAAGAAUCAUACAGUGCAGAAACACAACAAACGAACAAAGAAAAAAGUAGGCAAACCAAGAAACAGACUCUUAACUACAGAGCACAAACUGAUGGUUACCAGAGGGGAGGUGGGUAGGAGGAUGGGUGGAAUUAGUGAAGGGGAUGAAGAGAACACUUGUGAUGAUCACUGAGGAAUGAAUAGAAUUGUUGAAUCCCUACAUUGUACGCCUGAAGCUAAUGUAACACUGUAUGAUUCCUGUACUGGAAUUAAAUCUUUUUAAAUAAAAAAUUAAGAAUCAUCAAGUGGAAGACAACAGUACACCCAAUGUCAAUACUUGCUGUAGAGCUAUAGGAAUCAAGACAGCAGAGCAUUAUUGGCUGAGGGACAAACACAUAGAUCAAUGGAACUGAACAGAGAACCCAGAAAUGAACCCACAUGAAGAUACCUGAGUCAUAUUUCGAUUCACUGGAAGGCAGAGAGCUUUUUUAAAGAAAUGGUGCUGGUGCAAUUAGGUCAGAAAAAAAAUUACUUCAACCUAACCUAAGUCACACCUUAUACAAAAAUUAGCUCAAAAUGGAGCACAGACAUAAAAAAAAAAAAUCUUUGGGACCUAGGACUAGGCAAAGUGUUUCUGGAUUUGAUACCAAAAAUAUGAUCAAAAAAAAAGGAAAGAGUGAUACACCAGACUUCAUCAGAAUUAAAACCUUAUACUCCACAAAACACCCUGUUUAGAGAAUGAAAGUACAACCUAUAGACUAGGAGAAAACAUUUGCAAACCACCUAUUUGACAACGGACUACUCACUGUCUAGAAUAUAUAAGGAAUUCUCAAAAUGCAACAGUAAAAAAAAAAAAAAGAAGAAGAAGAAGAAAGUUCCAAUGAGAAAAUGACAAGCCAAAGAACCUGAGACAUUUCACUGAAGAAGAUCUACAAACAGAAAAUCAACUCAAGAAAAGGUUUUCAACAUCAUCAUUCAUUAGGGAAAUGCAAAGUAAAACCACAAUGAGGCUCACUGUCUCCAGAAUUAUUGAAACAAAAAACAAUAGCGAAACCAAAUGCUGGUGAUGAGGUGGGGAACUGGAUUACUCAUGCAUUACUGAUGGGGAUAGAAAAUGGUACAACCACUCUGGAAAGGAGUUUGACAUUUUCUUACACACACACACACACAAACUAAACGUGCAGUGAUCCAGUAAUUACACUCCUAGGCAUUUACCCCAGAGAAAGAAAAACUUAUAGUCACAUUAAAAAAAAAAAAAAUAGUAUACAGAUGCUUUACAGUUGCUUUAUUUGUAAUGGCCCCCGGCUGGAAACAAUCCAGACAUUCUUCAAUGGGGGAACCUCAAAUGGUGGUUCAUCCACACGUGGAAAAUUACUCAUCACGAAAAAAAAAAAAAAAGGAACUGCUCAUACACACAGUAACCUAGAUGAAUCUCCAAAGAAUUAUGCUGAGUGAAAAUAAUCUAAUCCCGAAAUGCCACGUGCCAUAUGAUUCCGUUUAGACAACGUCCUCGAAACGACACAGCUAUAGGAAUGGAGGACAGAUCGGUAGCUGCCAGGAGUUAAGGUAGAAAUGGGGGCUAACGUGGGCGUGGCUGUCAAAGGGCGUCAGGAGGGAUCCUGGCAAUGAUGGAGACAUUCUGGACCUUGUGUGCUAAUGUCAGUAUCUUGGUUGUGAUACUGGACUUCAGUUUUGCAAAAUAUUACCACGGGGAAAGUUGCUGAAGCGUGCACUGAAUCCCUCUCCAUUGUUUCUUAAAGUUACACAUGUGCUGCAAACUUGUAUAUUACGAGCUGAAAGUCUGGGUAGUCAACAGGCAAAUUUUACACUCAGGGUGCUGAGAAAUUACUCCCCGAAAGGGAAGCCACUCUUGGGCCGGUUACUUGCAGUCACAGGCAAUGCAGCCACAGACAAACGCACAAAUUCUGUCAUUUUACAGAUGUGCCGGAGGGUGGAAAAGGUGGAGAAGCUUUGAGUGAAGGCAUUGAGAAAAUCCUCACCCCCCAAAUGAAAAUAACGAAAUAGGAAAUGAAAUACAAUUACUUCUUUGAGAUUAAAGACCAGAAUGCAAUACAGUAUCUCAGUACUGUUCAGUACAGUAAAUCCAGUGAAACCAGGUUCUUUUUUCCUUUUUAAAUAUUGUUUUUUAAAUUUUAAAAUAAGCUUCAUGUCCAACGUGGGGCUCGAACUUACGACCCUUAGAUCAAGAGGCACAUGCUGUACUGGCUGAGCCAUCCAGGUGCCCCUAAAGCUGGAUUUCUAAGCCUCAACAUAUGGUCAGUAUUUAAUGUUAAUUUUAUGGAGAACUGUGUAAAUAUCUCCGAAAUAUGUGUUUUACUAGAAUCCAGCUAGGGAGAAAUAUUAAUAAAGUAGUUACUACAAAUUUUUUUAUUUUUAUUUUUUUAAGUUUAUUUAUUUAUCUUGAGAAAGAGAGACAGAGCGUGAGCAGGGGAAGGGCAGAGAGAGAGGGAGACACAGAAUCCGAAGCAGGCUCCAGGUUCUGAGCUGUCAGCACAGAGCCCGACACGGGGCUCGAACUCACGAACCACGAGAUCAUGACCUGAGCCAAAGUCGGACGCUUAACCGGUGGACGCUAAGCCACCCAGGUGCCCCAGGAUUUGGAUUAUUUUAAGUAGUUUAUUAUUUUUUUUAAAUGCUGAGAAUAACAUCCUGGUGUCCAUUUUUUUUGAGACACUAAUAAUAAUAAUAAUAAUAAUGUGCCCAUUUAAUGUGUAUCCUUUAGGGGUGCCUAGGUGGCUCAGUCGGUUGAGCUUCCAACUCUUGAUUUCGGCUCGGGUCAUGAUUUCAGUUUGUGAGUUCAAACCCCGCCUUGAGCCCUGUGCUGAUUGCAUGGAGCCUGCUUACUAUUCUUUCUAUUUCUCUUCUAUUUCUCUUGCUAUUUCUUUCUAGCCUUCCCUGCUCACAUGCAUGGGCUCUUUCUUUCAAAAUAAAUACAUAAACUUUUUUUUUAAGUGUGUCGUUAAAAAUAAGCAGUUGCUUAGGAAAAGCACAUCUGAUCAGAGACUAAAGAGAAAAAAGAUUAAUUAAUUAAAGUGUACAGGUUAAUGUUUGUUCGUGUGUUCACAGAGCCAUGAAACCAUCACCACGAUCCGAUUUUGGAACGUUUGGCAAUCAGUCUCCACCCCACUCACACACCCCCGCGCGCAUCCCCAGCCCUAAACAACCACUCACCGAUCGGCUUUCUGUUCUUAUCAAUUUGCCUCCAGAGACGAAUUCUGGACAUUUCAUAUCAAUGAAAUCAGAAACGUGUGGUCUCUUAGGACCGCUUGCUCUCACUUAGCACAACGUUUGCAAGGGUCAUCCGUGUGGCAGCGCGUGCUAGGACUUCAUUUCUACUUCUUGCUGGAUAACGUGCCAUCGUGCGGAUCUGUCACAGUUCGUUUAUCCCCUCGGCACCUGAUGGACAUUGGGUCGUCUUCACUUCGCGGCUAUUGUAAAUAGUGCUGCUAAAAACAUUCACGUAAUUUGUGUGCACAUGGAUGACGCUUUCGUUUUCUUGGGCUCGCACCUACGAGUGGACUUUCUGGGUCAUAUGGUGGGUAAUGCUAUGACUAACUUUAACCUGAUGCCCCUUAGUGAUUAUUUAAGAUCCCUCCUGUUAGGAAAAUAAUUGGUCAGAACAUAGGGGCCUCUUUGAGGAUUCUGAUGCAUGGUGACAAAUAACACGCCUCAAAAUUA